rnacentral:rRNA from 1 species
UACGUAGGGUCCGAGCGUUGUCCGGAAUUACUGGGCGUAAAGAGGCUCGUAGGUGGUUUGUCGCGUUGUUCGUGAAAACUCACAGCUUAACUGUGGCGUGCGGGCGAUACGGGCAGACUUGAGUGAACUGCAGGGGAGACUGGAAAUUCCUGGUGUAGCGGUGGAAUGCGCAGAUAUCAGGAGGAACACCGGUGGCGAAGGCGGGUCUCU